UACGGGGGGGGCAAGCGUUGUUCGGAAUUACUGGGCGUAAAGGGCUCGUAGGCGGCCAACUAAGUCGGAUGUGAAAUCCCCAAGCUUAACUUGGGAACUGCAUCCGAUACUGGAUGGCUUGAAUCCGGGAGAGGGAUGCAGAAUUCCAGGUGUAGCGGUGAAAUGCAUAGAUAUCUGGAGGAAUACCGGUGGCGAAGGCGGCAUCCUGGACCGGCAUUGACGCUGAGGAGCGAAAGCCAGGGGAGCAAACGGG
rnacentral:rRNA from 1 species